GACGAACGCUGGCGGCGUGCUUAACACAUGCAAGUCGAACGGAAAGGCCUCAAGUUUACUUGGGGUACUCGAGUGGCGAACGGGUGAGUAAUACGUGAGUAACCUGCCCCUUACUUUGGGAUAAGCCCUGGAAACGGGGUCUAAUACUGAAUAUUUUGCUUCUGCCGCAUGGUGGGGGUUGGAAAGUUUUUCGGUAGGGGAUGGGCUCGCGGCCUAUCAGCUUGUUGGUGGGGUGAUGGCCUACCAAGGCUUCGACGGGUAGCCGGCCUGAGAGGGUGACCGGCCACAUUGGGACUGAGAUACGGCCCAGACUCCUACGGGAGGCAGCAGUGGGGAAUAUUGCACAAUGGGGGAAACCCUGAUGCAGCGACGCCGCGUGGGGGAUGAAGGCUUUCGGGUUGUAAACUCCUUUCAGCACAGAAGAAUUUGACGGUAUGUGCAGAAGAAGCGCCGGCUAACUACGUGCCAGCAGCCGCGGUAAUACGUAGGGCGCAAGCGUUGUCCGGAAUUAUUGGGCGUAAAGAGCUCGUAGGCGGUUUGUCGCGUCUGCUGUGAAAGUUCGGGGCUUAACCCUGGGAUUGCAGUGGGUACGGGCAGACUAGAGUGCGGUAGGGGUAAUUGGAAUUCCUGGUGUAGCGGUGGAAUGCGCAGAUAUCAGGAGGAACACCGAUGGCGAAGGCAGGUUACUGGGCCGUUACUGACGCUGAGGAGCGAAAGCAUGGGGAGCGAACAGG
rnacentral:rRNA from 1 species